UACAGAGGUCCCAAGCGUUGUUCGGAUUCACUGGGCGUAAAGGGUGCGUAGGCGGUUUGACAAGUCUGAUGUGAAAUCCCGCAGCUUAACUCCGAAACUGCAUUCGAUACUGCCGUGCUUGAGGACUGGAGAGGAGACUGGAAUUUACGGUGUAGCGGUGAAAUGCGUAGAUAUCGUAAGGAAGACCAGUGGCGAAGGCGGGUCUCUGGACAGUUCCUGACGCUGAGGCACGAAGGUCAGGGGAGCAAACGGG
rnacentral:rRNA from 1 species